rnacentral:rRNA from 1 species
GACGAACGCUGGCGGCGUGCUUAACACAUGCAAGUCGAACGGGAUUUAGUAAACGGAAGCCUCGGUGGAAGAUUACUAAUGAGAGUGGCGAACGGGUGAGUAACGCGUGAGCAACCUGCCUAUGACAGUGGGAUAGCCUCGGGAAACCGGGAUUAAUACCGCAUAAAAUCGUAGAAACACAUGUUUCAACGGUCAAAGAUUUAUCGGUCAUAGAUGGGCUCGCGUCUGAUUAGCUAGUUGGUGAGAUAACAGCCCACCAAGGCGACGAUCAGUAGCCGGUCUGAGAGGAUGAGCCGCCACAUUGGAACUGAGACACGGUCCAAACUCCUACGGGAGGCAGCAGUGGGGAAUAUUGCACAAUGGGGGAAACCCUGAUGCAGCGACGCCGCGUGAACGAAGAAGGUAUUCGUAUCGUAAAGUUCUGUCCUAUGGGAAGAUAAUGACAGUACCAUAGAAGAAAGCUCCGGCUAAAUACGUG